CAGGAUGUCUGAGAGAUGUCUAGCGUGGGUGAGGGCUCCCUCCCUCUCUCUCUCUGCCUCUGCUCCUCCUCCUCUUCCCCGGAACCUCUGCCCACCCCCCUCCAGCCCUGAGUUGCUGAUGCCCUUUGGGUUCUGUUUUCAUUCCAGGCUGUGGAUCCGGUCGUGGGAAGCAGGUAGGAAACCAUGAUUCUGGGGGUUAAAUGAAGAAUUAUAUUUAGUGCUCACAGAAAGCCAAAUAUUGGGUUAGCAGCCAGGAAUGGAGAGGGAAAAAACCCAAAGCAAACAGCAGAGGGAAGAAAUUCCUACCAAACAAGGUCCCUAUUCAUUCUUCCAAUCCCAGGUGCAGGGGCCUGCAGGAGUGAGACCCGCUGAAUGUAAGCAGCCCAUCCUGUGCUCAUGGCUGCAGAGAAAUGUGGGGGCUCCAGACUUUGGUGAGACCCUCAAACUCAGAUCUUAUACCGCUGUCCUCGUGGGACCAAAGAGCUCUCAGCCCUCCCCACAAAGGUUGUCAAUAUCUCCACCAGCAAAAGGCGAGCUGCUACAGAGCUCACUAUGUUGACCCUGAGCCCUUUGAGACCCAAGGGUGGGGAGGAGGAGAGCAAAGUGAAAUGUUCCUGGUUUGACCUUGAGCAAGUGAUUGAACCUCCCCGAGCCCCAUGUAUGGAAUGUAAGAGUUGGAUUAUGAUUUCACAGUUCCUAACAUCCUACUAUUCUGUGGCUGUCUAAAACAAAUAAUGAGAAUAAGAGUAUGAACAAGACUACGACAUCUGUCUCUGUAAGAGCUUAGCAUGGGGCCUAGAGAGAUAAAGGAUAUGUCCCAGCUUAUUCCCCACUCAGCCUUCUGUGCCUUGGCCCUCCACAGGGUAAACUUCCAGGGUCUCAGCUGACUCUUCCGGAAAUUCCAGACUCCAGUGACAUGCUUCUGGAACCUUCUCAGACUGCCAGAAAGUCAGAUAACAGUCUGGGCAGGGGAAGGACUGCCACAGCCAGGCUGGCUAACGGGAAAGCUGAUGGGGACUAGAAGUUCAGGGAGACGUUGAGGGUAAGGAGGGAGAGAGACAGAGAAGGGGCAGGAGCGGGAAGACAUUGUAGACCUCCCAAACAUCUUCUGCAGGGUCGUGGAGAAGGCAGCACUUACCCUCCUAACUCCCAGACUCAUUUGUAUCCAGCCACUGACUUAUCCAAUUAUCCACCCCUCCUGUGGAUCUCUCUGUGGGGGAGAUCGACAGUAGGAGGCUGGAUUCCAGGUAAUAAAGAACGUUUAAGAGCCAAAGUUUCUAGUCAGGCAGUACAGAACUGAAUUCUGACUAACUAGAAGAAAGGAAAGACAGGAAUUUCCUGCCCGGGUCUGUCUUUCUCUAUGUGUCUCUAUUUAUUUCCCAUACACUUGGCUCUCUCUGCUUCCCACCCCCUAGUUUCCUCAAAGGGGCCCAAGCUUUGGGAGAAUCUGGGCACCGGUACCCCCUCUGAGCAGGAGAUGCCAACCUAUGGACUGACAUUGCCUGGAACCCUGAAGAAUGCCUCUUCUAAAGAGCCCCAGCCUGAAGGUAGCCCCAUCCACUAACUCAACCCUAGCCAUCCCUAUCUCCUCAGGUUCCAGCACUCAUCAGCAGGGACUCAAAAACACUCGUCUGUCGGGUGAUCCAUAGGACCAAAACCUUGGGAGAAGACACGCAGAGCCAGCCACUGACAAAAUUGUGAAAUAAAGUGAAUUCCUACAAACCUG
rnacentral:lncRNA from 1 species